CUAGAAUUUUGACUCGAAAAUACAAAAGUACUGUACGUGCUUUUUUGAAAAGAAUAGGCUCGAAAUUGUUGGAAGAAUUUCUUAUGUCGAAAGAAGAACCUUCUCAAAAGUUUCUUCCACUUUGCGGGGAGUAUAUAAAAGUCAGACUUGGUAUUUGGAUAUUAUUCUGGAAGCUUGGAAAUAGAAACUUUCCCUAAAUAAAAAUGGAUGAAGAGAUAACAAAAUAAAAAUGUAAUUUCCACUAUUCUGAAAUGUUUAUAUAGUAUGUAAUAAGGGUUAAAUCAACUGAGUAUUCAACUUUUUAAAGUCUUUAUAAGAAAGAAAAAGAUGUAUACAUAAGGAAAGCCACGU
rnacentral:lncRNA from 1 species